rnacentral:rRNA from 1 species
AGAAUCAACGCUGGCGGCGUGCCUAACACAUGCAAGUCGAACGAGAAAGUGGAGCAAUCCAUGAGUAAAGUGGCGCACGGGUGAGUAACACGUGACUAACCUACCCUUGAGUGGGGGAUAACCUAGGGAAACCUGGGCUAAUACCGCAUAAUACCCACGGGUCAAAGCAGCAAUGCGCUUGGAGAGGAGUUCGCGGCCGAUUAGCUAGUUGGCGGGGUAAUGGCCCACCAAGGCAAUGAUCGGUA